rnacentral:rRNA from 1 species
CCAAUAGCGUAUAUUAAAGUUGUUGCAGUUAAAAAGCUCGUAGUUGAAUUUCGGGGUCAAUAAGUUGGUCAUGCCAAUGGUAUGCACUGGCUUUAUUGAUUCCUACCUCUUGACGAACUGUGAUGCCAUUAAUUUGGUGUUGCAAGGAAUCAGGACUGUUACCUUAAAAAAAUUAGAGUGUUUAAAGCAAGCUUACGCUUGAAUACAUUAGCAUGGAAUAAUGAAAUAGGACGUUUGAUCCUAUUUUGUUGGUUUCUAGGAUCGACGUAAUGAUUAAUAGGGAUAGUUGGGGGCAUUAGUAUUCAAUUGUCAGAGGUGAAAUUCUUGGAUUUAUUGAAGACUAACUACUGCGAAAGCAUUUGCCAAGGAUGUUUUCAUUAAUCAAGAACGAAAGUUAGGGGAUCGAAGACGAUCAGAUACCGUCGUAGUCUUAACCAUAAACUAUGCCGACUAGGGAUCGGAUGAUGUUAAUUUUUUAAUGACUCAUUCGGCGCCUUACG